rnacentral:tRNA from 1 species
UCCCUGGUGGCUUAGAUGGUAAAGCAUCUGCCUGCAAUGCAGGAGACCCGGGUUCGAUCCUUGGGUUGGGAA